rnacentral:lncRNA from 1 species
GGGAAAGUAAGGAAUAAGGAGCAAAAACUUAAAAAAAAAAAAGUAAACAAGGUGUAAAGGGAUCUAGGGAACUAUAAAGGUUGUAGUUCAGUAUCAACAAUGAUAACUCAAGGUAUAGUGGAAAUAAAAGUGAGGGGAUAUUAGAUGACAAUUAAUCAAUGUUGGAACACAUUAUAUCCUGAAAUGUUAGAAAAAUAAAUGAUCACAGAAAAAAAUAAGUAAUUAGAGGAUGUCUGAGCAGAUUGAAAGCAGACAUCAUCAUCUAUUUGCAGGAUACUAAAAUGGAGGGAUAAGAGGUUUUAGAAGAUAAGAAAAUAGAGUUGUUUAAAGAACAGAAGGAGAGAAAAGGUAAGGAAUGUGGAGCAAAAAACAAAAAACAAAAAGCAAACAACGUGUAAAGGGAUCUAGGAAACUGUAAAGGCUGUAGUUUAGCAUUAACAAUGGUAACCCGAGGCAUGGUGGAAAGAAAAGAGAUGGGAUAUUGGACAACAAUUAAUCAAUGUUUGAGGCAUAUCAUAUCCUGAAAUAUUAGGAGAAUAAAUGAUCAUAGAAAAAGACAGGUAAUUAGACGAUGUAUGACCAAAAUAAAACCAGAGAUCAUUUGUUUGCAGUAGACUAAAAUAGAGAGCUUAGGCUAUUUAGAGAAUAAAUGAUCAUAGAAAAAAACGUUUAAUUAGAGGAUGUAUGAGCAGAUUAAAACAAGAGAUCAUCAAUUUGUAGGAGACUAAAAUAGGGGCAUAUCGUAUCUUGAAAUGUUAGGAGAAUAAAUAAUCAUAAAAGAAGACAAGUAAUUAGAACAGAUUAAAACCAGAUAAUAGAGUUGUUUAAAGAAAUUUAGAAUAGAAAGAGAUAAAAAGUAAGGAAUGAAGAGCAAAAAACAAAAAAGAGAUUAAAAAGUUUAGAAGAUAAGAUAAGUCAAUGGAGUAGUUUAAAGAGAUUUAAAGUAGGAGAGAAAGGGUAAGGAAUGAGGAGAAAAAAACAAAAAAGAGAUGAAAGAGUUUAGAGGAUAAGGCAAUGGAGUUGUUUAAAGAGAUUUAGAGUAGGAAGAGAGAAAAGGUAAGGAAUGAGGAGCAAAAAGUAAAAAAGAGAUAAAGGAAUAAGAGGAUAAGACAAUGGAGUUGUUUAAAGAGAUUUAGAGAAGAAUGAGAGAAAAUGUAAGGAAUUAGGAGAAAAAACAUAAAAGAGAUUAAAAGGUAAGGAAUGAGGAGAAAAAAACAAAAAAGAGAUGAAAGAGUUUAGAAGAUAAGGCGAUGGAGUUGUUUAAAGAGAUUUAGAGUAGGAGGAGAGAAAAGGUAAGAAAUGAGGAGUAAAAAAUAAAAAAGAUAUAAAGGAAUAAGAUGAUAAGGCAAUGAAGUUGUUUAAAGAGAUUUAGAGAAUGAGAGAAAAGGUAAGAAAUGAGGAGAAAAAACAAGAUUAAAGAAUCUAGAGGAUAAGGCAAUGGAGAGAAAAGGUAAGGAAUUAAAAGCAAAAAACAAAAAAGAAAAGCAAACAAGGUAUAAAAGGAUCAAGGGAACUACAAAGGCCGUAGUUCAGUAUCAACUAUGGUAACCCGAGGCAUGGUGGAAAGAAAAGAGUGGGGAUAUUGGAAGACAAAUUAAUCAACGUUGAGGCACAUGAUAUCCUGAAAAAAUAGGAGAAUAAAUGAUCAUAGAAAAAGAUAUUUAAUUAGAGGAUGUAUGAGCAUAUUAAAACAAGAAAUCAUCUGUUUGCAAAAUACUAAAAUAGGGAUACAUCGUAUCCUGAAAUAUUAAGAGAUAAAUGAUCAUAGAAAAAGACAAGUAAUUAGGACAUAUUAAAACUAAAGAUCAUAUGUUUGCGUUGGACUAAAAUAGGGAUACAUCGUAUCUUGAAAUAUUAGGAG